UUGUUGAAAUCUCUAAAAAGAUUUAUAUUUGGGAACGGAGGGAGUAGCAAGCAUACACAACAAGAUUUUGCAUUGUAACCCUGCAAGGAUAUGCAGCAGCAAAACGUUCAGCUAAAUAACCAGCAGAAGCGUUUACCUCUAGGCUCUAGCACAUAACUGAGUUCAUACUUUUUACAAGAUGGCAUAGUUAUUACAAAGUUUGACGAAAAAGAAGGCUGAUAAAAGAAAACAGUACAACAUAAGGAGGAAAGUCCGCGUCGUCCCUCAGCCACCGCAAAAUUCAACUUCGGAACUAUUUCUUCGGCCCGGAAGGGGAAUCAUCUUGCCAAGUUGACUGCCAUUGCUUGUCGUAGAACGUUGACUCGUCGAUGAGCUUCUUCAGAUUGUCGAUGUCCUCGUUUUUCCUGACCAGGAGCACCCCAGCCACAGCAACAAACAGCAGGGUUUUGCAGAAGAAGUUGCCCAUUUGGUCGACAAGCCCCACGCCCGUCAAGCUAUCGACAAAGUAAGCCAUGAAGAAGCCCACCAUGGCAGCACGGCCUGCAUAGACAUUGGUUAUACUAUUAGAAGAUGUGAAAUGAAAAGGCAAAAGGUGUAGGUAGAUAUGACUGUACUGUUCUUCCCAAUGCCAUACCGGUCCAUUUGCACCAGCAGUUUGAAUCGAUCGAAAACACAUAAUUUAGCUAUUUAAACUGAAAGAAUUCAAGAAUAACCAUUUAGCUUCUCGGCUUCAG
rnacentral:lncRNA from 1 species